rnacentral:tRNA from 1 species
AUUUAAAUAGCUUAAUUAAGAGUAUAAUAUUGAAGAUAUUAUGGUAAUCAUAUGAUUUUUAAAUA